rnacentral:rRNA from 1 species
GACGAACGCUGGCGGCGUGCUUAACACAUGCAAGUCGAACGAAGUGGCGAACGGGUGAGUAACGCGUAAUCAACCUGCCCUUCCGAGGGGGACAACAGUUGGAAACGACUGCUCAUACCGCAUACUGACGGUGGGGAUUGCGUCUGAUUAGCUAGUUGGAGGGGUAACGGCCCACCAAGGCGAGGAUCAGUAGCCGGGCUGAGAGGGUGAACGGCGACAUUGGGACUGAGACAAGGCCCAGACUCCUACGGGAGGCAGCAGUGGGGAAUCUUCCGCAAUGGACGAAAGUCUGAAGGAGCAACGCCGCGUGAGUGAUGACGGCCUUAGGGUUGUAAAGCGCUGUUAAUCGGGACGCGGUACCGGAAUAGAAAGCCACGGCUAACUACGUGCCAGCAGCCGCGGUAAUUC